GAUGAACGCUGGCGGCGUGCCUAAUACAUGCAAGUCGAGCGAACGGACGAGAAGCUUGCUUCUCUGAUGUUAGCGGCGGACGGGUGAGUAACACGUGGAUAACCUACCUAUAAGACUGGGAUAACUUCGGGAAACCGGAGCUAAUACCGGAUGAUAUUUUGAACCGCAUGGUUCAAAAGUGAAAGACGGUCUUGCUGUCACUUAUAGAUGUAUCCGCGCUGCAUUAGCUAGUUGGUAAGGUAACGGCUUACCAAGGCAACGAUGCAUAGCCGACCUGAGAGGGUGAUCGGCCACACUGGAACUGAGACACGGCCCAGACUCCUACGGGAGGCAGCAGUAGGGAAUCUUCCGCAAUGGGCGAAAGCCUGACGGAGCAACGCCGCGUGAGUGAUGAAGGUCUUCGGAUCGUAAAACUCUGUUAUUAGGGAAGAACAUAUGUGUAAGUAACUGUGCACAUCUUGACGGUACCUAAUCAGAAAGCCACGGCUAACUACGUG
rnacentral:rRNA from 1 species